AGUGAACGCUGGCGGUAGGCCUAACACAUGCAAGUCGAACGGCAGCACAGUAAGAGCUUGCUCUUACGGGUGGCGAGUGGCGGACGGGUGAGGAAUACAUCGGAAUCUACUUUUUCGUGGGGGAUAACGUAGGGAAACUUACGCUAAUACCGCAUACGACCUACGGGUGAAAGCAGGGGAUCUUCGGACCUUGCGCGAUUGAAUGAGCCGAUGUCGGAUUAGCUAGUUGGCGGGGUAAAGGCCCACCAAGGCGACGAUCCGUAGCUGGUCUGAGAGGAUGAUCAGCCACACUGGAACUGGGGCACGGUCCAGACUCCUACGGGAGGCAGCAGUGGGGAAUAUUGGACAAUGGGCGCAAGCCUGAUCCAGCCAUACCGCGUGGGUGAAGAAGGCCUUCGGGUUGUAAAGCCCUUUUGUUGGGAAAGAAAAGCAGCAGGUUAAUACCCCGCUGUUCUGACGGUACCCAAAGAAUAAACACCGGCUAACUUCGU
rnacentral:rRNA from 1 species